AAACACUUAAUUAGUACAACACUGAAAAAAGAGAUGUUUUGGUGUUCUCUUGUUCUUAUUUUCCUAGCUGUUGCCGCAGGAGCCCUAUCACCACUGCCUGUUACAUCCUACGCAGAGGCCGUAUUCUGAGCUCUUCGAGAGUGAAAUUCCGGAGAUGUACUGGGAUUCCAAACGGAAGGGGCUUUUCUCUGGAGCCUCAGGAAGAAGCACGUGCGGGCGCUGCUGUUUGACAGCUCUCCUCGGCCACGGUGCCUUUCCUGUCCUGAUGUGAUUUUGCAAGAGGCACUGCUCACAGCUACUUGUGGAGACCACUUGUGGAGUCUUUAAAGAUGGGAAAAGAAUAAGUUUGUCAAGCUGACAUGAAACACAUGUGAAAAGACAAGGAGACAAGCAAUGAUUAUAGAAAAGUCAACCUGAGCAUCACGCUGAGCUUAAGGAGCCAAGCUGUGCCGCCGCCUCAGCGCAGCUGGGAUGUCUGCUCCCGACAGUCAGCUCUGCAGUCACAAGGCACCGGGUUUCCCGUCUCGCAGGGAUCGCUGCUCUUCGCUGUCUGAUGUCCCGAGAGCCCGAGAAUGGCCUUUGAUGCACAAUGGAGUGAAGUCAGCAAAACAGGCUCAAAGUUCAACCACGAUCAAGCGUAAACAUAAUAAAUCGUAAGCCCUGUUCAAACUCGGUGACACUGGUGGUAUGAUCUUGCACCAAAUGUUGCUUGAAAUAAG
rnacentral:lncRNA from 1 species